CGAAAGCCUGACGGAGCAACGCCGCGUGAGGGAGGAAGGCCUGUGGGUUGUAAACCUCUUUUAUCAGGGAAGAAGCUCUGACGGUACCUGAUGAAUCAGCAUCGGCUAACUCCGUGCCAGCAGCCGCGGUAAGACGGAGGAUGCAAGCGUUAUCCGGAAUUAUUGGGCGUAAAGCGUCCGCAGGUGGCUAUUCAAGUCUGCUGUCAAAACCCAGGGCUCAACCCUGGAUCGGCGGUGGAAACUGUGUGGCUAGAGUACGGUAGGGGCAGAGGGAAUUCCAGGUGUAGCGGUGAAAUGCGUAGAUAUCUGGAAGAACACCCGUGGCGAAAGCGCUCUGCUGGGCCGUAACUGACACUCAUGGACGAAAGCC
rnacentral:rRNA from 1 species